GACGAACGCUGGCGGCGUGCCUAAUACAUGCAAGUCGAACGCUUCUUUCCUCCCGAGUGCUUGCACUCAAUUGGAAAGAGGAGUGGCGGACGGGUGAGUAACACGUGGGUAACCUACCCAUCAGAGGGGGAUAACACUUGGAAACAGGUGCUAAUACCGCAUAACAGUUUAUGCCGCAUGGCAUAAGAGUGAAAGGCGCUUUCGGGUGUCGCUGAUGGAUGGACCCGCGGUGCAUUAGCUAGUUGGUGAGGUAACGGCUCACUAAGGCCACGAUGCAUAGCCGACCUGAGAGGGUGAUCGGCCACACUGGGACUGAGACACGGCCCAGACUCCUACGGGAGGCAGCAGUAGGGAAUCUUCGGCAAUGGACGAAAGUCUGACCGAGCAACGCCGCGUGAGUGAAGAAGGUGUUCGGAUCGUAAAACUCUGUUGUUAGAGAAGAACAAGGACGUUAGUAACUGAACGUCCCCUGACGGUAUCUAACCAGAAAGCCACGGCUAACUACGUG
rnacentral:rRNA from 1 species